rnacentral:rRNA from 1 species
UACAGGGGGGGCAAGCGUUGUUCGGAAUUACUGGGCGUAAAGGGCUCGUAGGUGGCCAACUAAGUCAGACGUGAAAUCCCUCAGCUUAACUGGGGAACUGCGUCUGAUACUGGAUGGCUUGAGUUUGGGAGAGGGAUGCGGAAUUCCAGGUGUAGCGGUGAAAUGCGUAGAUAUCGGGAGGAACACCAGUGGCGAAGGCGGCUUCCUGGACCGGUUCUGACACUGAGGAGCGAAAGCGUGGGGAGCGAUCCGG